rnacentral:rRNA from 1 species
UACGUAGGGGGCAAGCGUUGUCCGGAUUUAUUGGGCGUAAAGCGCUCGCAGGUGGUUUGUCGCGUCGUGCGUGAAAGACCCCGGCUCAACUGGGGGAGGGUCGUGCGAUACGGGCGAACUGGAGGCCAGUAGGGGGGAUGCGGAAUUCCGGGUGUAGUGGUGGAAUGCGUAGAGAUCCGGAGGAACACCAGCGGCGAAGGCGGCAUCCUGGACUGGUCCUGACACUCAGGAGCGAAAGCGUGGGGGAGCGAUCCGG